rnacentral:rRNA from 1 species
GUGGGGAAUAUUGGACAAUGGGCGCAAGCCUGAUCCAGCAAUGCCGCGUGGGUGAAGAAGGUCUUCGGAUCGUAAAGCCCUUUCGACAGGGACGAUGAUGACGGUACCUGUAGAAGAAGCCCCGGCUAACUUCGUGCCAGCAGCCGCGGUAAUACGAAGGGGGCUAGCGUUACUCGGAAUUACUGGGCGUAAAGGGCGCGUAGGCGGCUCUGUUAGUCAGGCGUGAAAUUCCUGGGCUUAACCUGGCGACUGCGUUUGAUACUGCAGGGCUUGAGGCCGAGAGAGGGUGGUGGAAUUCCCAGUGUAGAGGUGAAAUUCGUAGAUAUUGGGAAGAACACCGGUGGCGAAGGCGACCACCUGGCUCGGUUCUGACGCUGAGGCGCGACAGCGUGGGGAGCAAACAGGAUUAGAUACCCGAGUAGUCC